UACAGAGGGUGCAAGCGUUAAUCGGAAUUACUGGGCGUAAAGCGUGUGUAGGUGGUUUGCUAAGUCAGGUGUGAAAUCCCCGGGCUCAACCUGGGAACUGCAUUUGAUACUGGCAGGCUAGAGUGUGGUAGAGGAUAGUGGAAUUCCCGGUGUAGCGGUGAAAUGCGUAGAUAUCGAGAGGAACACCUGCGGCGAAGGCGGGUUGCUGGGCCGACACUGACGCUGAUGCGCGAAAGCCAGGGGAGCGAACGGG
rnacentral:rRNA from 1 species